rnacentral:lncRNA from 1 species
GUUUAAGGUUGAUCUCUACAGAUCCCAAGACACUUCAGGCAUCACUCAUAUCUGCAAAAGGGAAGGGCUGGGAAGAGAAGAUGGGUUCCCAAAACUCAAGCCAGCAGGAAAGGUUGGCCACCAAACUAGAAACACAAAUCAGCUUGAAAUGCCAGGUAUAGAGGGUCAGAGGUUGUUUAGAACUAGAACAGGGUAAAAUAUAGUGAAUUUGCUCAAAUAUUACUUUUAUCAGUAUUUUAUUCAUUCUUGUCUUCCUAUUAUUCUAAACUUGCUUGUUUUAGCGACAUAGGUUGUAUGUAAAAGAAGAGUCAGUGCUGGAUGAUCAGAGUAAAAUACCACAAUUAACUCUGCUUUUGUGCCUCUACAAUCACAAUGGCUAAAGGCACAACUGUUCAGAGUAUGAUGCUCAAGUGUCCUGUGUGUGCCCCACAACAGCCUCCAUGAUUCAGGAAAAUAGAAGCUUAUAUGAAUAUUUAUUUAAAAAGAAAACAAGCCCAAUGAUACCACUCUGGGACUCCUGCACUGUGAGCCCUCCAUGGCCUCGUU